rnacentral:rRNA from 1 species
AUUGAACGCUGGCGGCAGGCCUAACACAUGCAAGUCGAACGCGUGGCGGACGGGUGAGUGUUGUCUGGGAAACUUUCCGCUGGAGGGGGGUAACUACUGGAGACGGUAGCUCAUAUCGCACACGCUCGGGUGUGUCCAGAUGGGAUUAGCUAGUGGUGGGGGUAACGGCUCACCAAGGCGACGAUCCCUAGCUGGUCUGAGAGGAUGACCAGCCACACUGGAACUGAGACACGGUCCAGACUCCUACGGGAGGCAGCAGUGGGGAAUAUUGCACAAUGGGGGCAAGCCUGAUGCAGCCAUGCCGCGUGUAUGAAGAAGGCCUUCGGGUUGUAAAGUACUUUCAGCGAGGAGGCGUUACUCGCAGAAGAAGCACCGGCUAACUCCGUGCCAGCAGCCGCGGUAAUAC